GGAAGUAAAAGUCGUAACAAGGUUUCCGUAGGUGAACCUGCGGAAGGAUCAUUCACACAUUCAAUUCACAUAACGUGAACCAGUCAGACCGUAACAAGUCUGGCUAUCAACAUUUGUUGGGUUAAUUAUCAAGACUUACCUAAGCAUUAUUAACUAUCAGCGAUGGAUGUCUUGGCUCCCACAACGAUGAAGGCCGCAGCAAAAUGCGAUAAUCAUUGUGAAUUGCAGACUUCUUAGAAUCAACAGAACGCUGAACGCAUACGGCACCGUACUUGUACGGUAGGUCUGUUUCAGAGUCACUUUCGAUCUUCCCAAAACUCUUCUUUGGAGAGCGGACGGAAGGCAAGGUACUGCUCGUCUAUUUUACUAUGGGUUGGCAGUCGCAUUGUUCUAUGGCUACUCGUUUUCAACAUAUUCGACUCGCUCGGUUGUUGCAUAUACGGGUAAUAUAGCUAUAGCUUACAACUUAUAUGACCUGAAAUCAGACCAGGCUACCCGCUGGACUUAAGCAUAUUAGUCAGCGGAGGAAAGGGCGAUCCC
rnacentral:rRNA from 1 species